rnacentral:lncRNA from 1 species
CUUCCUUCCUUCCCCUUUCCCCAACCGACCAACAGAAGUGAAGCCUUAGUUGCUAGAGACUAUCCCUUGGGUUAGAUGGCGGCAGUAGGACAGAUACACCAGAGUCAUAAUCGGCUUGAGUAAGGGCUACACUAGUCACUAGUCCCAGCACUUAGCCCGACUCACUCAAUCUCUCAUUCUUGGCCUGGGCACAAUUCGGACCGUUCCUGUUUAUCCACCCAACCACUAUGUAUUGCACGUUACUGGAGAUAUCAAGAUGAAAAAGCACAUGUACUUAAGUUAAUUGGCCUACAUUCAGGGCGAGAGAGUUUGUAUAUAAACCUGCAUGGUGGUGGAGUCCACGUGGAAAGCUGGUAUCUCACCCACCACAACUUAGAAGCCGAAGCCAACACACCGUCACGUACCAACCCUUUCAUCAUCAUCAUCAACGAAGCAAUUGCAACUUUGGGAGGACUUUGCUCUAUCAUCCUGAAACUGGUUGUUCAGACUAGAUGCACCAGUUGUCAUUUUGAUCUUCUAGUAGGCGGAGUGUUUUACCUAAAGCAAAACUCAUGGUCUCGUGCUCACCAUUAGCUCAUCCAAGCACAUUUUCAAAGUUUGCUGUGAUGGAAAGCUGGCUUCCAGAACUUUUUGUAAUCCCUAGAAUUAAAGAAGGAAGUGGCAUUGACAGAUGGAUCUGCUCUUUUCUGCACUGGAGAAGUAGACAGAAAAUGAAAACUGGUUCUGGUUAAGUGGAAAGAACUAGAUUGAAUGUGGAGCGACUUAGCUUCCGG